CAACAAUGGGUCACUUAUCGAAGUCCUCAUGUAGAACCGUAUUUCAACAGAUGAUUCAACAAUAAUACCUUGGAAAUAUUACCAUGUUCUCACCCAUAUCAUGUACCAUUUGUGCCCAAUACUCCCCAUUUGUAAAACAAUUAUUUCGAACUUGAAACUUUGUAAACUUUACGGCUCCAUGAAAUAACAAAUUAAGAAGAAUUAGUAGAGAGAGCAUGUGGGUAAAAAGAUAGAGAUUACAUUACCAAUUUUCAGAAUGUCAAUAUAUUGUGCAAUCCAACUGAAAAUAUGAAUGUAAGAAAACAACCUCCUGUGUUUGCUUCAAGAAGGUAGCACCCAGUUUUACAUGGUAUCUAAGCCUGCAUGUAAACUCGCUCUUGUCAAUGACCCUACAAAGCUUACCGUUCUAAUAACCCAAAGGAGACUGGAGAGAUAGAUCAUACAUGCACAGUUAACACAAAAAUAAUACCUUUAACAAUAUAGUACAUGUUAUGUAGUAAGCACCUGAGCAGUAUAAAUAAAACUCUUGUUGAGGACCUUGGAAAGCUUAUCACACAUAAUUUACUGCUAUCUUUGAAUAAUACUCAUAUUCUGUAAGCGAUUAUUUUGGGCACAAAACAUCAUAAACAUGAGUUUGUGUACAAUAAGAAAUUAAGAAAAAAUAGAAGAGAGCAUGAGGAAAAAAUCUUAGAGAUCACAUAACUAACUUCCAGGAUGUCAAAAGAAUGUGGAGUCUAAACAACCCAUUGCGUUGCUUAAGUUGGUAGCUUCACACAGUUUCACACGGUCUGUUAGCCCACAUGUAAACUCCAAAACAUGCAAUUUGGAUUGAGUAAACAUGACCAUGGUAGCACAUUAUAUGGUGGAAAAAUAAGUAUAAAUAGUUAAUUUCUUGUACUGGUUCUUAUGCUAAUUACGUAUGCAUGCAGCUGCAGGAACACAUCUUCAGCUAAUUCUGACUACCAUCUUUGAUCCUGAAACCCACGACCACCUCCCACCAUUCCAACACCGCAUCAGCUCACUCCGUGCGCCAUGAGAAAGAAGAGUAAAAGCAUACUUCGAUUAAUCUUCAUAUCUGUCGAACUUGUACGCUAUACACCGAGUGACAUCCAAGCACCUGCGGAUUAAUCAGCAGAUAUUUUUUAUUCACGUUCAGUGUGUAUUGAGUGCCCAUAGUAGCAACGAAGUCCAUAGAGAUAAUCACAAAUCGGCGUCAAAUUGACAAAUGAAGACUUCCAAGCCAAUUUUGGUGAUUACCGAGCAACAACAGGGUUGGUAGAAACAAUUUUAAGCGCACAGCCGUCAACACAAAAAUAUCUGUAGACAGCACUCAGGAUCAAUGCUGAAAGAUUGGAUCGUAGCGAGUUAAUAAUUAAUAAAUUAUAACUAUACAAUAAGCAGAAAAUCAUUAUCGUAUUUAGAGAUAAAACAAUUCACUAGUGGAAAACGGGCCUUUGGCCGGGACCCUUCAGUCCCGGCCUGCCUCUGGGCCGGGACUAAAGGCCCGGCCACGUCGCCCCAAUUCUCAAUGCCUCCCUCGAGGCUUUAGUCCCGGCCUGUAAGGAGCCUUUAGUCCCGGUUCGUGCCCCAAACCGGGACUAAAGGGCUACGCGGUGGGCAGCCCGCAUGUGCGCCACCUUUAGUCCCGAUUUGUGUCUCAAACCGGGACUAAUGUCCUCUGCCUAUAUAUAGCACAGCCCCCCUCUCCCCUCUUCCUUGCAUUUUUCUUGGAUGGAAGAUUGUGGGUGGGUGCUAGCUCUCCACUUUUUUUGAUGCACUAGAGGUGUUUGUUGAAAUGUGUGUUAGAGCGAUGCCGCUUUAGUUCACCGAACAAAACUACGAUAUGAGAUGCCUGAGCCACGCUUAAACCUCUUCCUCUUUAUUUCUACUUAUUCUAAAAGGUUAGCAACUAUAUUUCCUCGUUUAGACCGUGCGGUACUACUUUUUAGGAUCGUGAUUGUAUUUGAUAUACUGUCGUAUAACACAGAUGAGCCAUCCAUGGAUGUACGGUGAUCGACGCACAGCCGCUUACAGAGAAGGCGUGCAUUCUUUUCGAGAUGCAGCCGAUGCGAACAAGCAUGGUGGUGGCUAUAUGUUUUGUCCAUGUGUUAAAUGUCGGAAUGAGAAGGAUUACACUUCCUCAAGAGUCAUUCAGAGCCACCUGCUUCGGUCCGUUUUUAUGUUGGGCUAUAAUGUUUGGACCAAGCACGGAGAAAGAGGGGUUAUGAUGGAAGACGACGAUGAAGAAGAAGAGAACGACGAUGACAACUACCGAUCUAUGUUCCCUGAGUAUGUUGAUACCGCAAUGGAAGACAAUGAAGAAGAAGAUCAGGAUGAAGAACGGGAACCAGAUGAGCCCGCUGAUGAUCUUGGCCGGGUCAUUUCUGAUGCACUGCGAGGUUGCGACACAGAAAAGGAGAAGUUGCAGUUCGAGCAGAUGUUACAGGACCACAACAAAUUGUUGUACCCAACUUGUGAAGAUGGCCAGAAGAAGCUGGGUAGCACACUGGAAUUGCUGAAGUGGAAGGCAGAGCCCGGAGUGACUGACUCGUCAUUCGAAAAGUUGCUGGUACUGAUGAAGAAGAUGCUUCCAAGAAAGAACGAAUUGCCCGCCAGCACGUACGAAGCAAAGAAGCUUGUUUGCCCUCUAGGAUUAGACGUGCAGAAGAUACAUGCAUGCCCUAAUGAUUGCAUCCUCUACCGCGGUGAGAAGUACGAGAAUAUGGAUAAAUGCCCGGUAUGCACUGCAUUGCGGUAUAAGAUCAGAAAAGAUGACCCUGGUGAUAUUGAGGGCGAGCCACCCAGGAAGAGGGUUCCUGCCAAGGUGAUGUGGUAUGCUCCUAUAAUACCACGGUUGAAACGUCUGUUCAGAAAUAAAGAUCAUGCGAAGUUGUUGCAAUGGCACAUGGAAGAUCGUAUGGAAGACGAUAAGUUGAGGCACACCGCUGAUGGUCGGCAGUGGAGAAAAAUCGAGAGAGAUAUUACGACAGACGAGAAUGGGCACUGUUUGGAAACAUAUUACGGGUACAUAGAGGAGAUAUGGGAACUUGACUAUGGACCUAAUUUUAAGAUCCCUUUGUUUCGGUGCAAAUGGGUGAAGCUGACAGGAGGCGGGGUAGUUGUAGACCAAAAGUACGGCAUGCCAACAGUGGAUCUCAACAAUCUUGCGUAGAUGUACGAACCAUUUGCCUUGCCAAUGAUGUCGCUCAGGUUUUCUAUGUGAAGGACAUGUCUACAAAAACGAGAAAAAGAAAUCAGCAAAAGAAGAUAUCGUCCGAUGAGCCAAAACGCCACAUAGUUCUUUCAGGGAAAAGAAACAUCGUGGGAGUAGAUGACAAGACAGACAUGUCAGAAGAUUAUAAUAAGUUUCAUGAAAUUCCGCCCUUCAAAGUGAAAACUGACCCAAGCAUCCUACUGAAUGAUGAAGAUUCUCCAUGGCUACGACCCAGAAGAAAACAUAAAUAAUAGAUAGGAAUAUUGGUGCAAUAAUGUAAUAAUGUAUUAAACCUUUUAUGUAAUGCAUGUAUGGAAUGUAUUAAAUUUCAAACACUUUUCAUUUUCAUAGUAUCCAUGUAAGAGAUGAGUUCUCGUUCGAAACCCUGAUACUUCGAGAGAGAUUGUCCGUUUUGUACACGAAGUGCAUCCAGUUUUUGUCGUAGCCCUCUCAACAUUUUAACACAUGCUAUGUGGGUGAAAUGAUGAUAGCAUGCCAACUUUAAACAUUUUCAGAGUUCAUUUGUAGUGCUUUUCAAUUUCAGGGUCAACUAGCUCAAAAAAAUAAGUAAAGGCACGAAAUAUACCAAAUGAAGUCAGAAAUUGUUGAAAUUUUGUGAUGUGCCUUUGAAUGGUGCAUUUUGAACACACAAAAAGUAUGGAGUUCAAAUAAGUUCAAAAAAAUGAAAUCCCUUUGUAAGAGAUGAGUUCUCGUUCGAAACCCUGAUACUUCAAGAGAGAUUGUCCGUUUUGUACACGAAGUGCAUCCAGUUUUUGUCGUAGCCCUCUCAACUUUUUAACACAUGCUAUGUGGGUGAAAUGAUGAUAGCAUGCCAACUUUCAACAUUUCCAGAGUUCAUUUGUAGUGCUUUUCAAUUUCAGGGUCAACUAGCUCAAAAAAAUAAAGUAAAUGUACGAAAUAUACCAAAUGAAGUCAGAAAUUGUUGAAAUUUUGUGGUGUGCCUUUGAAUGGUGCAUUUUGAACACACAAAAACAAUGGAGUUCAAAUAAGUUCAAAAAAAUGAAAUCCCUUUGUAAGAGAUGAGUUCUCGUUCGAAACCCUAAUACUUCGAGAGAGAUUGUCCGUUUUGUACACGAAGUAAAUCCAGUUUUUGUCGUAGCCCUCUCAACUUUUUAACACAUGCUAUGUGGGUGAAAUGAUGAUAGCAUGCCAACUUUCAACAUUUUCAGAGUUCAUUUGUAGUGCUUUUGAAUUUCAGGGUCAACUAGCUCAAAAAAAAUAAGUAAUUGCACGAAAUAUACCUAAUGAAGUCAGAAAUUGUUGAAAUUUUGUGGUGUGCCUUUGAAUGGUUCAUUUUCAACACACAAAAAGUAUGGAGUUCAAAUAAGUUCAAAAAAAAUGAAAUCCCUUUGUAAGAGAUGAGUUCUCGUUCGAAACCCUGAUACUUCGAGAGAGAUUGUCCGUUUUGUACACGAAGUGCAUCCAGUUUUUGUCGUAGCCCUAUCAACUUUUUAACACAUGCUAUGUGGGUGAAAUGAUGAUAGCAUGCCAACUUUCAACAUUUUCAGAGUUCAUUUGUAGUGCUUUCCAAUUUCAGGGUCAACUAGCUCAAAAAAAAUAAGUAAAUGCACGAAAUAUACCAAAUGAGGUCAGAAAUUGUUGAAAUUUUGUGAUGUGCCUUUGAAUGGUGCAUUUUGAACACAAAAAAACUAUGAAGUUCAAAUAAGUUCAAAAAACCAUUGCAGAACAUAUGACCAAAUCAAUACAAGUUCAUCAUCACAUUAAAGACAAAGAACAGUAGUGAUCAAAUGUUAUUAUUGCAAAAAAUAAAUACAUAAAGUUCUCUCAUAAAACAACAUACAACUAUGUAAAACAUUUAAAUGCAACAACAAACGCGAUCAAAAUCGCAACUAAGGUAACAAUUGACCCAACAGCAUAAUGAUACCAAGCCUCUUUAUCAAUGGCAUAUUUUCUAAUAUUCCUAAUCUUCAAGCGCAUUUCAUCCAUCUUUAAGCGCAUUGCAUCCAUCUUCAACCGCAUCGCAUCGAUCUUCAUCUUGCGAUCAUCGAUGACAUCGGCGACAUGCAACUCCAGUUCCAUAUUCUUAUCCUCAAUUAUUUUCAAUUUUUUGUUCAGGUAUUUGUUUUCUUUUUCAACCAAAUUUAACUUCACGACAAGAAUUUUUAUGUGGGUUGGAAUUUCCGGUUCACAUACCUCCUAGAUUAAAAAAAUAUAUGUCACAUUGGUUGUCAUAGUUGUCAUAAACACUAAAUAAAACAAAUAGUUAUAAAAGAUAAUAUAUACCACAUCCGAAUCAUAGACAGGACGAGGGCCGACGGAGGCGGAUACCAAAACCAUCGCACUAUAUAAUAACAAAAAAUAAUGAAAGUGAGUAAUUUAUACAAGUAUGUAUCUAAAUCAUACAAGUAAGAUUUUUUUGAUUUUAAAGAGAAGAUAAGAACAAGAGGCUCACCACGGUGGUGCUCGCAGUUGGUGUGCACGGCCAAACCUAGACAAAUAUUAAGGAAAAUGGAGCUUGGAGGUGGAGCUUGAAGAGGAGAAAGCUUAAGUAGAGUGGCUCGGGCAUUUCAUCGAACACGUCAUGUGCAUGAAUUAGAGUGGCAAGAGCUUGGAGGUCACACUUCAACAACCAAAAACCAGGGGAUAUGGUGGGCAGGGGUGAGGGUUUAUAUAGGCAACACUUUAGUCCCGGUUCUUGCCACGCCCCGGGACUAAAGGCCCCUGCUUCCCACCUUCUGGUCUGCCGAAAAAGGGCCUUUAGUCCCGGGYCGUGGCUCCACCCGGGACUAAAGGGGUCUUUAGUCCCGGAUCGAGCCCCGAACCGGGACUAAAGAUCUACCUGUAUAAGCGGGAGUUAGAAAAUUUCGAACCCAAAUCGUCCAUUUCUCUUCUUCUUCCUCUCGUUCUCCUGCCCGGCGCGGCAGAGCGACGAACUCGAUGACGCCGUCAGGCUGCCCGCCGUCCUGCUCGCCGCCGCCUGCCGUCCUCCUCGCCGUCGUCGUCGUCCUGCUCACCGCCGCCGUCCUCCUCGCCGCGCGCCGCCGUCCUCCUCGUCGCGCGCCGUCGACACCUCCGGCCGGUAAGCCCCCCGCCGCCUCCUCCCCAGCACUCCGGCCAGUAGAAGAAAAGAAGAAAAAGGAGAAGAAAAGAAGAAAAAGGAGAAGAAAGGAAGAAAAAGGAGAAGAAAGGAAGAAAAAGGAGAAGAAAGGAAGAAAAGGAGAAGAAAGGAAGAAAAAGAUUUUUUUGUCAUUUAAUUCCUAUUGUUAUUAGGUUUGUGCUAGAUUAUUAGGGUUAGUAAUAUGUACAAUUAGGAAAAAGGAAAAUAAGAAGAGGAGGAGAAGAAAAGAAGAAAAAGGAGAAUAAGAAGAGGAGGAGAGGAGAAGAAGAGGAAAAAUAGAAGAAGAGGAGAGGAGAAGUAGUAGAAGAAGAGGAGAAGUAGAAUUAGAAGAAGAAGUAGAAGAAGAGGAGAAAUAGAAGAAGAGGAAAAUUAGUUUAGGGUUACAAGAAGAAGAAAUAUUUUUUUUGUCAUUUAAUUUUGCUAUUGUAUAGUGUAUAUGCUUAAGUGUUAAUAGUGUUUCUUAGAUUAUUGCUUAAUUUUGCUAAUGUAUAUGCUUAAGUGUGUUAAUAGUUUAAUUUUGCUAUUGUAUAUGCUUAAGUGUUAAUAGUUUAUUUCUAGCAAGAAAAUUAAUAGAACUAGUUUAAUUUUGCUAUUGUAUAUGCUUAAGUGUCCGGGACUGGGCUCCGCCCGGCUGGUAUUUUAGAGUUUAGGAUCUAGCCAAGACCCGGGAUUAAAGGUCCUCCUAUAUAAAACGACAUUUCGAAGUUUCCAACCCCUCUUAUAUAGUUAGUUAGUUUAUUAGUUAAUCAAAUGUCUGUUUUUUGCAGAACUAUCGAUCCACAUAUCAGGAACCUCGAAGAGGAAGAACUUCUCGAAGAUAUAAUCAAAGACGGCCCCGACGUUGAACCAGCUGAAUCUCCGUCGUCAUAUCUAAACGACUCCGGAUAUGGAAUGGAGGUCGAGCGGCACGAAGAUGAAGCCGAUGGGGCAGGAGAUAGGUCCAAUGACGGAGAAGGUGAUAGCUCCACUGAUGGAGAAGCCGGUGGAGAAGCCGGUGAAGAAAUAAUAAAGUCCGCCGAGGUAUAUAUAUGAAGUUCGACAAUCACUUGUAAUAUGUGAAAAAUAUUGGAGAUAGCUCUAUAUUGUAUACAUAUACAUUCAUUUGACGAAUGUUUCUCCCUCUUAGGCCUCCACAUCGAGCAAAGCUACGAAACGAGGCCCGACUAGAAAGUUGGAUGCACUACACCUUUGAGGUGAUAUUGCCUACGGGCGAACCCAAGCUUCCUAAGAAUGUUGCUAACACAUUCAAGAAGCAAUGCGGAGUUCUCGUUAGGGAUCACAUCCCGAUCAGCGUUCGGGAGUGGAACAAGCGCAAAGGGGCAGCCGAUAGUGACUAUGUCGCCGAAAGGUACAAAGAUAAUCUUUGGAAUGAUCUCAUGUCACAUUUCAACCUGCCAGAAUGUGAGAAUGAAGACGCCGCAGACAAACUGAGGGCCAACGUCAAGCAGUGGACUCUAAAGAAGAUGGCCGAACUGUUCCGUAGCUGGAAGAAGAAGCUAUGGAAAAACUAUCUCAAGACAAAGAAAGUGCCAGUAUUCGAGGGGUAUCUAGCCAAGCAGGCGAAUUACUGGAAGGCAUUUCAAGAGUACAAGGAGUCAAAAGAUGCCCAGACAUUAUCAGAAAAGAACAAGAUAAAUGCCGACAAGAAGAAAUAUCACCACAAGCUGUGGCAAGGGGGCUAUGAGACUGCCAUCCCAAAGUGGGAUAAGAAAGAGCAAGAUCUGCUAGAUAAAGGCAUCGUACCUGAACCACUCCGUGAUGAGUGGGAAUUGAGAGCAAGAAAUUGGUUCCUUGCGCAUGGUGGGUCGUACGACGAAAAAACAGGGGACCUCAUCUGCAAUGACGAUCUUUGGAUACCCAGGGAGAAUUGGAAAAGGAUAGUGAAAGAUAUUAAGGAGGGAAAAAGAAAGUUCACUGCGGAUAGAGAUAAAGAUUUGCUCACACUGGUCCUCGGCAAUGAUGAACAUGGAGGACGAACACGAGGCUUCGGUCGUUCUUACCCGUGGUGGCUUGGGUUUGCCAGAGACCAAGACACUUACAAAGCCGAGAGAGAUCAAAGAAGCGGCAGCAGGAUGAGGAGAAUGACAAGUUCAACCAGUUGCUUGCCAGGAUUAACGAGCAACAGAAGCAAAUUGAUGAGCUUAGAGGAGUACCGCGCCAGGAAGAUCCUGCACUUGAUAUUAUCGGCGCCGCAUCUAAGCGGAAAAGCAGCGUGGCUGAAUCUGAGGCCCCGCCCGACGAUGUACGAAGAAUGAUAGAGGGCGGUCCCAGCUACCCCGUGGAUGGAAUCAAGGAGUCAACAACAUGUGAACUCCAUCAGAAAUUCACGAACAUAUCCAUGAAGGUGGCCGUCGGACAAACUUUACCUUCUGGCCCUGAUGCACGCUGGCAUGGCCGUGAGAUUCCAGCUGGGUUUGCUAAAGUCAGGGUGGAUGAAAUCCUGACGGGGUUUCAUGAUAUGGAGCUCGACAUAGCUGGACCCGAAGAUGAGAGGACACUCGGAGAAGUACUGGGUGGAGUCAUCCUAUGGGACAAGAACUACAUCAAGCUUCCAGGCUCGGCCCCAAGGACAACACCGCCUCCGAGUCGUCGCAAGUCACCUACACCUCCAUUACCUCCAAGCACUCCACAUGACGUCCGCCAGCACAAUACGAGUUCAUCGCGAUCACCGCCGCCGGACUUGGGUCGUCCGUCUCCGCCGCCGCCUGCUCCGGAUACUAAGCGGGAGCGUGCCACCAAGAACGCUCCGCCGACGAUUCCUAAGCCACGGAGCCCCCCAAAGCGCAAACGGUCGCCCCUCCCAAAGGUACGUCAUGCUAAUCUUCCUAUCAGACCUUAUGAUCGUACCCCCGGGGAUAAUGCCCGGAUAGCAAAAGAACAUCAUGAUGCGCAGAUGAACAAGAAGGAACCCGAGCCCCGCCCGGAAUACACCGAGAAGCAAAUAGCAUUUGCAAAAUACUUCACGACCCUUCCAUCACAGUAUGACUUAUACCAUAAGCCUGAUGACUAUACACGCACAUUGCAGAAGGAAGUGAAAAAGAGCAGAUCACGUGCAAGUGCAAGUGGGAGCAAAUCAAGUUCAACUACAAGCAAGAAAAAAUCAGACGUUCCUCAGCUUGGACAACAGGCCAAACAGUCGAUCCCACCCCUCAAGGUGUUAACCGAAAAUGUUCCCCCUUCGGUGCAGGGGCUAGCUUUAGAAAGUGCAAAGGAGUUGGCGGCUGAAUGUGGUGUCUCGGUUGAAGAUUUGUUGGCUUCCCAAGACGACAGGAUACCCAAGGCCGUGGUAGCCCUUAAGCCACAGUUUGUCAUGGGUGAGCCUUUGGUCAGCAAAGAUGAUCUCCCAACAAAUAUGCGUUACUUGCAUCAAUGGUACUUAAGUGAAUCAAAGAAUGGGAGAACGAUGAUCGUGCUGAGUGUCCCAUGGGAGUACUACGGCCGCCCCGAACAAAUCCGUAUCGACUUUGAUGAACUCUUCCGGAUGUACAAUGGCGACGCCCUCGACAAAUCGCUUAUGAGUUGCUAUUGUCUGUAAGUUUUUCAAUUCGUUGUCUACAUAAAACUUUUUAGUUAUUUCAAUUCGUUGUCUAUAUAUAACUUGUACUCUAUUAUGCAGAAUGAAGAUUCUCGAUUGUAAAAGUAAGAGCAUCCUAAAUAUUGGGUUUAUUGACCCAGAUAAAAUACAUAUAGCGACGCUAACUGAUUAUCCCAAGGAGACGGAGGAAAACCUUCUAAGGUUUCUAACAGAUCAAAAUUUAUGUGACCACAUACUGUUUCCAUACAACUUCAGGUGAGGGUCUUUACUCUGUUGUGUCCAUUCACUUAUAAGUGUAAUUGAUAAGUUACUAACACACACAUAUAUAUAUAUACAUGUGCAGCUUCCAUUGGAUUCUGUUGGACAUUCAAAUUGAUAAGGGAAGAGUUGAUGCCUUCGACCCAUUAUCGAGACCCUUGGAACAGUUCCAAAGCCUGCAGGACAUGCUCCAAGGGUAAUUUCAAUCAUCCUUGCGCUCUAUCGGUCUCUUUCGAUGAUUUUCUGAUAUAUCAAUUAAUGAAAAACUUAGCAAAUCAUUAUGCUUGUCGGGCAGGGCUUGGAAGCGGUUCAAGUGCGUGACUCCCGGUAACUUUCCUGAGAAGCUGACCUUUAGAGCGGCUCAGGUAAGUAGUAGUAUGAUAUACUUCUAUUUUCAAUACAUUUCUGAUGCUAGAUUAUUAUUUUGAUUAUAUAUAUUCUAUUCUCGUAAAGUGCGACCAGCAGCCACGGGGAACGCAUCUAUGCGGAUACUAUGUUUGCGAGACCAUUCGCACGUUUACCUCCAAGCACAAGGAUCACAGAUUCGACGUAAGCAAUGAACAGUCACACCAAUAUUUUUACCCGUCAUUCUUUGUUAUCAUGAUUGAUAUUCAUAUUCAUCUCCUCUUCUUAUAUAGCACACGGCCAUGACGACGAAGGUCCUACCAGAGCAACGCACGAUUGCUGUUGCAGAGGAGCUUGCGACCUUUCUGAGGACGGAAGCUAUAGAUGACAAAGGACAAUUUAGUGUAGGUAGGGGCCAUUACUGAUGUUCGUCCAUGUAAUCGAAUAGACGGGCUCUAGUCCCGAUAAUUCAGAUCUCCAUAUAAUUGUAUAUAUAUGCUCGCUUGUAAGAUAAGUUAAUCUUAUAUAUAUAUGCAUAAUGAUUUCUAUUUAAAUUAUAUGAAAACUAAUUCCCGAACACCAAACGAGGCAUCACGUUAAUCUCCCGAACACCUAAACCCUAAAACCCUAAAACCCAAAAAUAAUUUCAUUAAAAAAAAACCCAAAAAUAAGCAAAAUCUGAAACUCUUUAGUCCCGGUCCGUGUAACGAGCCGGGACUAUAGGUCCUGCCCCUGGGGCGCUACGAGGCGCCCACGUGAAGCACCUUUAGUCCCGACUUGUAACAGGGCUGGGACUAAAGGUUAGGCCUUUAGUCCCGCCCCUUUAGUCCUGGUUGGUGAACCCGGACUAACGCCCCUUACAGGCCGGGGCUAAAGACCCCGUCCCCACUAGUGAUUGUAAUCAAAUACCUAGGUUUGAAACAAAAGCUACCUGGGAGCUGAGCCAUUGCCGAGAUUGAAGCCUCGUAUACAAAGGAGAUAUGUACAAAAGAGUAGAACAAUGGCGAGACCUGCCAUGAGAGAACGUCAUUGGCAAAGUGAUCAGACCUAGAGUAGUAUAUGGGGAAAUUUUGAAUAAACAAAUCAGUUGGGUGAUAGAUGGAGGGGUCAGCACCUUGAUGAGGAGAAUUGGCAACGCUUUGUAGGAGAACCUAGCCAUCAUGGUCAAAGUCAAACCUUCGCCCAGGGAGCAGCACAAAACAUGAUAGAGGAAGGAGGCGGCGGCCUGAGGAGAUGCGGCGGACAAACAAAAACGGGAUAGACGAAGGAGGUGGCGUUUCCUGGAAGGAAACGGGAGAGCAGGGGCAACGUGGAUUGCUUUGGGAUUGAGAUAUGAUUAGAUUGAAAAGAUCUAAGACAUUCAAAGAAAAAAAGAUUGAACCUCUGCGGUUU
rnacentral:lncRNA from 1 species